UUAGCCUGAUAAUGUGAAUUGGAUUAAAUAUUUAUUCAUUUGUGCCUCACUCCAAACAAAUGUUGUGAUCUUCGCUCAUCAUUUAUUAUUGAUAUAAAAAGAAAUGUCAUAAAUAAUGCAACAGGGAGAGUUGUAAAAUGACGAAGAACUGGAAGCGACGACGUCGACUGGCUGCCAGCACAGUACAAUUUACAAACUGCGCACUGUCUUUAUAAACAGACCAAUAAUACAAAAGCCAUUGUAUUUAAUUUUAUGAAGAACUUUCAUUUGAUGUGAACAAGGAAUUUCUAACAUGGAAGAAGGACAAUAAAAUAUAAUUCCUAAAUAACCACCCGCACUGAGUGUUGAUUCAUCCCUAAAUCCUAACUUUAAAAUAGUUGUUGCACUGAAUGAAAAGCAGGCUGUUAUGCGAGUGCCUGAAAGACUUUGAAAUAUAUUUCUUGUGAAAAAUUGGAAUAGACUCAGCUAUCAACUGACUGUACAUUAUACACUUUCAGUUACACAUUCUAUUUUUUGGAAAUAAUUUUAAUAAAUAUAAUGAAUGAAA